GUUGAACGCUGGCGGCAUGCCUUACACAUGCAAGUCGAACGGCAGAGGGGCAACCCUCGAGAGUGGCGAACGGGUGAGUAAUGCAUCGGAACGUGCCCAGUCGUGGGGGAUAACGUAGCGAAAGCUACGCUAAUACCGCAUACGACCCGAGGGUGAACGCGGGGGACUCGCAAGGGCCUCGCGCGAUUGGAGCGGCCGAUGUCAGAUUAGGUAGUUGGUGGGGUAAAGGCCUACCAAGCCGACGAUCUGUAGCUGGUCUGAGAGGACGACCAGCCACACGGGGACUGAGACACGGCCCAGACUCCUACGGGAGGCAGCAGUGGGGAAUUUUGGACAAUGGGCGCAAGCCUGAUCCAGCCAUGCCGCGUGCGGGAAGAAGGCCUUCGGGUUGUAAACCGCUUUUGUCAGGGAAGAAAUCUUCUGGGUUAAUACCUCGGGAGGAUGACGGUACCUGGAGAAUAAGCACCGGCUAACUACGUGCCAGCAGCCGCCGUAA
rnacentral:rRNA from 1 species